AUUAAGACUUGGAGCAAGACAGAGCAGCCGAAGAAGGGAAGGAGGCCGGGUAACAUCCCCCUACACAGGGCCACUAUUGUUAAUACUAGCUAGGUUUAUUACCAUGGUGAUGAAGAAGUUACUCUCUUCCCUACCAGCGAUGGUAGCGAUCAUGCUGGCCAUCGCCAUGCUCUUUUGCUCCGUCGUCGUCGUCCACUCCUCGGAGGUCAAACAAGCAAACGAUGCAACUAGAGCUCAUCUGGAGGGAAGCCAUCAGGGCGUACCGCCACCGGCGCCGCAGGGCGGCCGUGUGCAUGCAUACGGCGAUGUCCCGCCGCCGCCACAGCUGAGCAGCCUCUCGAACAGCACCCGCACUGGAAGAACAGACCGACUGGGUGGUGACAUCAAUAGUUAUGUUACCGAUCGCCAUGUUUAGGUUUAGCCAGGUUUAGCCCCACCAUGCAUGAACCCAUGAUGUGUUUGGGCUUGGUUGGACCAAUCAUCUAUCUAUCUACACUAGUAGAGAUAUGGUUUUAAGGCUUGUUUGGAUCCUUGUGGCACAGUUUUUCAGUUAAUUUUAGUACCUUAACCUCCAAACAGGUCCGAAGGACUGCAAACUGUUUGCUCAUUAGACAUUUGACCUUGCUAAUAGGUGCUAAUAGAU
rnacentral:misc_RNA from 1 species